rnacentral:tRNA from 1 species
GCACUGGUGGUGCAGCGGUGAGCAUAGCUGCUUCCCAAGCAGCUGACCUGAGUUCGACUCCCGGCCAGUGCA